rnacentral:rRNA from 1 species
AGACACGGUCCAGACUCCUACGGGAGGCAGCAGUGGGGAAUUUUGCGCAAUGGGGGAAACCCUGACGCAGCGACGCCGCGUGGAGGAUGACGGCCUUCGGGUUGUAAACUCCUGUCAGAAGGGACGAAAUCCCGCAAGGGACUGACGGUACCUUCAGAGGAAGCCCCGGCUAACUACGUGCCAGCAGCCGCGGUAAUACGUAGGGGGCAAGCGUUGCUCGGAAUUACUGGGCGUAAAGGGUGAGUAGGCGGUCGGGCAAGUCAAGGAUGAAAUCCCGAGGCUCAACUUCGGAAUUGUUCUUGAAACUGCUCGGCUUGAGGGUAGUUGAGGAGAGUGGAAUUCCCGGUGGAGCGGUGAAAUGCGUAGAUAUCGGGAGGAACACCUGAGGCGAAGGCGGCUCUCUAAGCUACUCCUGACGCUGAAUCACGAAAGCUAGGGGAGCAAACGGGAUUAGAUACCCCGGUAGUCCUAGCCGUAAACGAUGGACACUGGAUAUUCCGGCAUUUCUGCUGGAGUGUCGUAGCUAACGCGUUAAGUGUCCCGCCUGGGGAGUACGAUCGCAAGGUUGAAACUCAAAGGAAUUGACGGGGGCCCGCACAAGCGGUGGAGCAUGUGGUUUAAUUCGACGCAACGCGAAGAACCUUACCCGGUCUUGACAUCUGCAGAAUUCUUCAGAGAUGGAGGAGUGCCGGCUUGCCGGAGCUGCAAGACAGGUGCUGCAUGGCUGUCGUCAGCUCGUGUCGUGAGAUGUUGGGUUAAGUCCCGCAACGAGCGCAACCCUUACCCUUAGUUGCCAGCGGGUAAUGCCGGGCACUCUAAGGGGACCGCCCCGGAUAACGGGGAGGAAGGCGGGGAUGACGUCAAGUCAGCAUGGCCUUUAUGUCCAGGGCUACACACGUGCUACAAUGGGCGAUACAGAGGGAAGCAAGGCCGCAAGGUAGAGCUAAUCCCUAAAGUCGUCCUCAGUUCGGAUUGCAGGCUGCAACUCGCCUGCAUGAAGUCGGAAUCGCUAGUAAUCGCGGAUCAGCUACGCCGCGGUGAAUACGUUCUCGGGCCUUGUACACACCGCCCGUCACAUCACGAAAGCUGGUCUCGCCCGAAGUCGCUGAGCUAACCCGCAAGGGAGGCAGGCGCCGAAGGCGAGGUCGGUGAUUGGGGUGAAGUCGUAACAAGGUAGCCGUACGGGAACGUGCGGCUG